CAGGCCAAUAUAGUGCAAAAAGUAAGUACGGUUAAUCUUUCAAGAUCGCCAAUAUACAAGGAUAUAGUCCAAAAUUCAUUUUAAGAAUUGUUAUAGAAUAGGCCUAGCAAUGCCACAUUUAAAAUAGUGCUGAACUAUUAGUGCAAUUUGUAGUCAACACAUCUAUAAUCUUGAUCCGAGGCUGUAUUGAGUGGUUGUGCAGUAGGGGCUCUCUGCAGUCAAGAUGCUCUGGACUUCACCCAUGAUUCUCAGCCAGGUACCAAUUACCAAUGGUCUCUAUCUGGGACUGCACCAAUAGUGC